CUGCAACUCGCCNGUAUGAAGUCGGAAUUGCUAGUAAUCGCGGAUCAGCAUGCCGCGGUGAAUACGUUCCCGGGCCUUGUACACACCGCCCGUCACACCAUGAGAGUCGGGAACACCCGAAGUCCGUAGUCUAACCGCAAGGAGGGCGCGGCCGAAGGUGGGCUUGAUAAUUGGGGUGAAGUCGUAACAAGGUAGC
rnacentral:rRNA from 1 species